rnacentral:misc_RNA from 1 species
UACGGAGGGUGCAAGCGUUGCUCGGAAUUAUUGGGCGUAAAGGGCAGGUAGGUGGUCUCAUUUGUCUGGGGUGAAAUCCCGGGGCUCAACCUCGGAAGUGCCUCAGAAACGGUGAGACUAGAGUCCUGGAGAGGCGAGUGGAAUUCCCGGUGUAGCGGUGAAAUGCGUAGAGAUCGGGAGGAACACCAGAGGCGAAGGCGGCUCGCUGGACAGGAACUGACACUCAACUGCGAAAGCGUGGGGAGCAAACAGG